AACGUACGCUGGCGGCACGCCUAACACAUGCAAGUCGAACGAAGUAGCAAUAGUUAGUGGCAGACGCGUGAGUAACAUGUGGGUAUCUACCCUUUGGCCUGGAAUAACACGAGGAAACUUGUGCUAAUACCGGAUAAGUCUUUACGGAGAAAGCUUUAUGCACCAUUGGAUGAGCCCGCACUUGAUUAGUUUGUUGGUAGGGUAAUGGCCUACCAAGACUAUGAUCAAUAGCUGAUUUGAGAGGAUGAUCAGCCACAUUGGGACUGAGACACGGCCCAAACUCCUACGGGAGGCAGCAGUGGGGAAUCUUGCACAAUGGAGGAAACUCUGAUGCAGCGAUGCCGCGUGAGUGAAGAAGGCCUUUGGGUUGUAAAGCUCUUUCGUCGGGGAAGAAAAUGACUGUACCCGAAUAAGAAGGUCCGGCUAACUUCGUGCCAGCAACCGCGGUAAUACGAAGGGACCUAGCGUAGUUCGGAAUUACUGGGCUUAAAGAGUUCGUAGGUGGUUGAAAAAGUUGGUGGUGAAAUCCCAGAGCUUAACUCUGGAACUGCCAUCAAAACUUUUCAGCUAGAGUAUGAUAGAGGAAAGCAGAAUUUCUAG
rnacentral:rRNA from 1 species